GCCCGGGUGGCGGAAUUGGUAGACGCGCUACGUUCAGGUCGUAGUAAGGUUUAUCCUUGUGGGAGUUCGAGUCUCCCCCCGGGCACCA
rnacentral:tRNA from 1 species